GAUGAACGCUAGCGGCAGGCUUAACACAUGCAAGUCGAGGGGUAACAGGGGAGCUUGCUUCCGCUGACGACCGGCGCAAGGGUGCGUAACGCGUGAGCAACAUGCCUAUAACAGGGGGAUAACCCGGAGAAAUCCGGACUAAUACCCCAUAAUGAGUAGUAAUUGCAUGAUUAUUAUUUUAAAACUUUGGUGGUUAUAGAUUGGCUCGCGUGACAUUAGUUAGUUGGUAGGGUAACGGCUUACCAAGACGACGAUGUCUAGGGGUUCUGAGAGGAAGAUCCCCCACACUGGAACUGAGACACGGUCCAGACUCCUACGGGAGGCAGCAGUGAGGAAUAUUGGACAAUGGGCGGAAGCCUGAUCCAGCCAUGCCGCGUGCAGGAAGACGGUCCUAUGGAUUGUAAACUGCUUUUACAGGGGAGCAAUAAUAGUUACGUGUAAUUAGAUGAGAGUACCUUGUGAAUAAGCAUCGGCUAACUCCGUGCCAGCAGCCGCGGUAAUACGGAGGAUGCGAGCGUUAUCCGGAUUUAUUGGGUUUAAAGGGUGCGUAGGCGGCUUUAUAAGUCAGUGGUGAAAGUUUGUCGCUUAACGAUAAAAUUGCCAUUGAUACUGUAGGGCUAGAAAUUAGUUGAAGUAAGCGGAAUGUGUGGUGUAGCGGUGAAAUGCAUAGAUAUCACACAGAACACCGAUAGCGAAGGCAGCUUGCUAACUAGUUGUUGGCGAUAGAUAGUCAGUGACCAAGCGAAAGCGAUAAGUUAUCCACCUGGGGAGUACGACCGCAAGGUUGAAACUCAAAGGAAUUGACGGGGGCCCGCACAAGCGGAGGAACAUGUGGUUUAAUUCGAUGAUACGCGAGGAACCUUACCCGGGCUCGAACGGUACAGGAGUGAUUCAGAGAUGGAUCAGCCAGCAAUGGUCUGUAUCGAGGUGCUGCAUGGUUGUCGUCAGCUCGUGCCGUGAGGUGUCGGCUUAAGUGCCAUAACGAGCGCAACCCUUGUUGUUAGUUGCCAUCGGGUGAUGCCGGGGACUCUAGCAAGACUGCCAGCGUAAGCUGUGAGGAAGGGGGGGAUGACGUCAAAUCAGCACGGCCCUUACGUCCGGGGCGACACACGUGUUACAAUGGGGGGUACAGAGGGCAGCUACAUAGUGAUAUGAUGCGAAUCUCUAAAGCCUCUCUCAGUUCGGAUCGGAGUCUGCAACUCGACUCCGUGAAGUUGGAUUCGCUAGUAAUCGCGCAUCAGCCAUGGCGCGGUGAAUACGUUCCCGGGCCUUGUACACACCGCCCGUCAAGCCAUGGAAGCUGGGGGUGCCUAAAGUUCGUAACCGCAAGGAGCGACCUAGGGCAAAACUGGUAACUAGGGCU
rnacentral:rRNA from 1 species